rnacentral:rRNA from 1 species
CACGUAGGUGGCGAGCGUUAUUCGGAUUUACUGGGCGUAAAGGGUCCGCAGGGGGCCUGCCAAGUCUGUCGUGAAAUUCCGGGGCUCAACCCCGGGACUGCGGUGGAAACAGGCGGGCUGGAGUUUGUGAGGGGCAGACGGAACACCUGGUGUAGCGGUGGAAUGCGUGGAUAUCAGGUGGAACACCGAUGGCGAAGGCGGUCUGCUGGCACACAACUGACCCUCAGGGACGAAAGCGUGGGUAGCAAACAGG